AUUGAACGCUGGCGGCAGGCCUAACACAUGCAAGUCGAACGGUAACAGGAAGAAGCUUGCUUCUUUGCUGACGAGUGGCGGACGGGUGAGUAAUGUCUGGGAAACUGCCUGAUGGAGGGGGAUAACUACUGGAAACGGUAGCUAAUACCGCAUAACGUCGCAAGACCAAAGAGGGGGACCUUCGGGCCUCUUGCCAUCGGAUGUGCCCAGAUGGGAUUAGCUAGUAGGUGGGGUAACGGCUCACCUAGGCGACGAUCCUUAGCUGGUCUGAGAGGAUGACCAGCCACACUGGAACUUGGACACGGUCCAGACUCCUACGGGAGGCAGCAGUGGGGAAUAUUGCACAAUGGGCGCAAGCCUGAUGCAGCCAUUCCGCGUGUAUGAAGAAGGCCUUCGGGUUUUAAAGUUCUUUCAGCGGGGAGGAAGGGAGUAAAGUUAAUACCUUUGCUCAUUGACGUUACCCGCAGAAGAAGCACCGGCUAACUCCGUG
rnacentral:rRNA from 1 species